GCAGAUAUCAGGAGGAACACCGAUGGCGAAGGCAGAUCUCUGGGCCGUAACUGACGCUGAGGAGCGAAAGGGUGGGGAGCAAACAGGCUUAGAUACCCUGGUAGUCCACCCCGUAAACGUUGGGAACUAGUUGUGGGGUCCAUUCCACGGAUUCCGUGACGCAGCUAACGCAUUAAGUUCCCCGCCUGGGGAGUACGGCCGCAAGGCUAAAACUCAAAGGAAUUGACGGGGACCCGCACAAGCGGCGGAGCAUGCGGAUUAAUUCGAUGCAACGCGAAGAACCUUACCAAGGCUUGACAUAUACGAGAACGGGCCAGAAAUGGUCAACUCUUUGGACACUCGUAAACAGGUGGUGCAUGGUUGUCGUCAGCUCGUGUCGUGAGAUGUUGGGUUAAGUCCCGCAACGAGCGCAACCCUCGUUCUAUGUUGCCAGCACGUAAUGGUGGGAACUCAUGGGAUACUGCCGGGGUCAACUCGGAGGAAGGUGGGGAUGACGUCAAAUCAUCAUGCCCCUUAUGUCUUGGGCUUCACGCAUGCUACAAUGGCCGGUACAAAGGGCUGCAAUACCGCGAGGUGGAGCGAAUCCCAAAAAGCCGGUCCCAGUUCGGAUUGAGGUCUGCAACUCGACCUCAUGAAGUCGGAGUCGCUAGUAAUCGCAGAUCAGCAACGCUGCGGUGAAUACGUUCCCGGGUCUUGUACACACCGCCCGUCAAGUCAUGAAAGUCGGUAACACCUGAAGCCGGUGGCCUAACCCUUGUGGAGGGAGCCGUCGAAGGUGGGAUCGGUAAUUAGGACUAAGU
rnacentral:rRNA from 1 species